rnacentral:rRNA from 1 species
GCUUGCUUCUCUUGAGAGCGGCGGACGGGUGAGUAAUACCUAGGAAUCUGCCUGAUAGUGGGGGAUAACGUUCGGAAACGGACGCUAAUACCGCAUACGUCCUACGGGAGAAAGCAGGGGACCUUCGGGCCUUGCGCUAUCAGAUGAGCCUAGGUCGGAUUAGCUAGUUGGUGAGGUAAUGGCUCACCAAGGCUACGAUCCGUAACUGGUCUGAGAGGAUGAUCAGUCACACUGGAACUGAGACACGGUCCAGACUCCUACGGGAGGCAGCAGUGGGGAAUAUUGGACAAUGGGCGAAAGCCUGAUCCAGCCAUGCCGCGUGUGUGAAGAAGGUCUUCGGAUUGUAAAGCACUUUAAGUUGGGAGGAAGGGUAUUAACCUAAUACGUUAGUACUUUGACGUUACCGACAGAAUAAGCACCGGCUAACUCUGUGCCAGCAGCCGCGGUAAUACAGAGGGUGCAAGCGUUAAUCGGAAUUACUGGGCGUAAAGCGCGCGUAGGUGGUUUGUUAAGUUGAAUGUGAAAUCCCCGGGCUCAACCUGGGAACUGCAUCCAAAACUGGCAAGCUAGAGUAUGGUAGAGGGUAGUGGAAUUUCCUGUGUAGCGGUGAAAUGCGUAGAUAUAGGAAGGAACACCAGUGGCGAAGGCGACUA